AGUGUCAAGGGAUGGGAAUCGAACCCACGACCUUCCGCUUACCAGUGAGAUGCCAUGACCACUAGGCCACAUGACC
rnacentral:tRNA from 1 species